rnacentral:lncRNA from 1 species
GUGUUGUACUACUUUUGGGACAAAUUAUAUCAAAAUUAUAGAAAACUUCAUCGGCUCUAACUCAAAAUAUGGACAACUUUAUGUUUAGGGCGUCUUGAAAUCUUUUGACAGCUUCCGAAGUGCUAGUUUUUAACCUUUUUCAACUGGACCAAAUCACUACUUUCCUUUAAAAUUCUGGACCCAAAUUUUUUUACAGUGUAAUUUCACCCCCUUACUUGCCAUUUGAGGCAUAAAACAUGGAGAAAUAAAUUUGGAAGGGGUAUAAAAAAUAUUGGCAAGUAACCCACUGUCAAUACUAGGAACUAUAUU